UCUCAUUAAAAGAUGGAUAACCAAUUUUGAAUGUAACAUUCCACUUAAAUGGGGGUGACGACCUAGUGUAUCUCAUUGAAAGACACAUGAUCAAUACUAAAUAUAACAUGACACUUUGAAUGGUAUGACGGACCAAAUAAGAUAUGUCCUUUAGAAAGGAUGGUUGAACUAAAUAAGAUGUGUCCUUUUGAAAUAGUGGAUGACCCAAAGCCGACAUAGAUCGCCUACAUAUCCCAUUCUUGAGAAUUCAGGUCAAACGUAGUUCAUACAUAUAAUGAAAGGAUAAGUUUUCUAAGAGGUUGACCAAAGCCUACAUAAACCGUCUACAUAUUUCUUUUUGAGAAUUUAGGUCAAACGUAGUUCGUGCUAAAAUUUUACUACUAUAUAGAAACACUGGUGGAGGACGGCCAAGGUCAGAAAUGUAAUUUCACAAAAUAAUAUCUUUGCCGCAUAAUAAACCUAGAAGUCUCUGGACACUCUCCAUUGCUUGAACAGAGCAUUUGUAUCACUCUUUCUCAUUCAGAAAAUUAUCACUUCUCUCCGUCCUUCCAAUGGGUUUCAAAUUCAGGUAUGUUCCUAUUUUUAUCUUUCGUCUUUUAUUUAUUUCUUUAAACGGUCUUUCCAAGUUCUCUUCAAAUUUUCCAUUUUUGUUGUCGCAUUUCAUGUCUGUUAAAGAAAAGAUUAAAAUUUUAGUUAUAACAAAUUAAGAUUUUAAUUCUUGUUGCUUUAUUAUUCUUUUCAAAUUAUUUCACUGGUGAGAUUGGAAAUACCUUUGAUCAGUGCAGGAAGCUCAGGUUACCUUGAUUUAAGCUACAAAAACUUGACUCGGAGAGUUGUCAGUUGGUUUUGAUAAACUUAGGGAGUUUUCGAUAUCUAAAAACAAGUGUACUGGAGGACUUAAAUUUUUCUUCAAACAAUUUUUCAGAGCCAAUUCCUAAGGAAAUUGGAUCAGUUAUAAGUCUUCAAGAACUUUACUUGGGAAGCAACAAUUUUCAAGGGACAUUCCAGAAGCUCUAUUAAGUUUAAGAAAUUUGCUGUUUCUUGAUCUUAGUAGAAACAACUUCAGAGGAGAAAUACAAGAAAUUUUUGGGCGAUUUACACUAGUAAAGUUUCUUAUAUUGCAUGAAAUUCCUAACUUAGGGAACCUUUCUCGAUUGGACGCAUGGCAACUCUUAUGCUGGAGGCAUAGUUACCUCUGGAAUUCCCAACUUAGGGAACCUUUCUCGAUUAAACUUGAACGAUAAUCAAUUCGCUGGUCCAUUGCCAGUUGAACUUUCCAAGAUGAAAGGCUUGAAGUUUUUGAUUCUUGCAUACAACCAGUUUAAUGGAAGUAUACCCUCAGAAUACGGGGAUAAUCCGAUAUUUCAGGCCCUUCAUCUUUCCUCUAAUAAGUUAAUUGGCCAGAUACCACCAAGUUUAGGGAAGCUAACCUCACUUUUGUGGUUGAUGCUUGCUAACGAUUCACUGACAGAUAGCAUCCCACCUGAGUUGGGAAAUUGCAGCAGCUUAUUGUGGUUGAAUCAUGCAAACAAUCAACUUUCAGGGCCAAUACCACCUCAGUUAGCAAAAAUUGGCUCAAAUUCUAUGCCUAUUUUAUUGUCGAAUAGGGCAAAGGAUAAGGCCACUGUUGGCUCGGGGGAAUGCUUCUUUAUGAAGAGGUGGAUACUAGCUGAUUAUCCUCCAUUUAGCCUUGUAUGUCCUCUCCUUACCCAGAAGAAUUGUAAAAGCCUAUAGGAUAAAUUGCUUAAGGGGUAUGGUUUAUUUCCAGUGUGUGAACUGGGUAGUAAUCAUUUUUCUCUACAUUUUUUUUAAUUGAAUAUAGAAAUCAUAUUAUUUCACUUCGUAUAACUUGAAGUUUACUGUCCUGAAGAGAUCACCUUCCAAGCUUUGUGAAGGGAGUUCUUAGGCCUGCAAUAACUUUUUGUUAUCGUUUCCUCCAAUUUAUUCACCAUUUCACAGACCUUAUUUAUUUCUUAAUCUUUGAGCUUAUGUUUUUUCCUAAUACUAAUAUAUUUGAGGAUGCGACAUACAAAAGCAGAAAAUCUGUAAAGUGUGUUGCGUUACCUCUAACUCAUCAUGAGUUGUACAAGCAGAUUGUUGUAGAUCCUCCAUGUGGUGUAUUAUUCUAUGGUCUAUCAAACACUGGGAAAACUAUGUAUCUAAAGGCUGUAGCAAAUCAUACCACCACAACCUUCAUAAGGGUUGUUUCUCAGAAUUUAUUCAAAAGUACUUGGACGAGGUAAACUUGAAGUCUUAUUUUUAGUUUAAAGUGUUUGUAUCUCAUAAAAAGAGAUAGGUGGAAGAACAUGUCAAAAUCUUCAUGUUUGCUUUUACCAUCAUAAACUUAGUAUGUCUUUUACAGUAAAUGUCCUUACAUGACACUCGCAAUAUGGAGAUAAGCUUCGUGCUGCAUUUCUAAAAUUUUACUGCUCUCACUAAAAAACAAGGACUGUAAAAAAGUUAAAGCACUUACGGAGUAGUGGUGGUAUAUAAUCUAUUUAUGAUGAUACAAUAAUUUUCGAAGUAUGUUUGAAAACGUCAAGAAUUGCAUGUUUCUUAAAACUUUAUCCUAUAGCUGGGCUGGCAGAAAGUUUUUGAAGUUAUGGCAAAUAGUCUUUAUUUAGUAAUAUGAUUAUUUGAAUCUAAAUAUGGUCAAAGUCUUGAUGACAACUUGCAGGUAAAGAAGCUUUCUGAAAACUACUUAAUCUUACUUAUAAAUGAAAUUCCUAACAACAAGAAGUAAUUUUUAAAUGUCUUGUAGUAUUUGUUAUGAUAGAAUUUUGUAUUAUUUUUUGAAUUCUAGCAAAGUUGCUGCAUAAACUCUUGCAAAUGAGGCUCUGGUAACUGUUUCUUACUGGUGAGUUAUGGGUUUAAUUUGAUUAACAACACAAUGAUUACAUUUUGGCAUGUUGUUUGUAUAGCGCUUGCCAAUUUCUGAAGUAGUGCCUAAAUAUGAACAACUUCUAUCCACAUUUCCCACAUCGGCGAGUCCCCAAUCUCAGUUUGGUAACGAUUGUCGAGACUGAUCAGUUGGAAACACUUAUAAUCUUUGAAGUGAGAGUGAUACUUCUAAAUUUUUCAAAACAUCUUACAUGUCUUCAAAUGGUAUAUUUCUUCAUUGCACAUAAGUGUUCCGUUUCUUUUUCUAUAGCAUAGAAGGCUAGAUUUAUCCAUCCUUAUGUAGUCAUAAUCUAUGGGAUUACUGGAUGUGUCUUGCCAUCAAUGUUUGUUAAACUUCAGUUCCCUGUGUGCUAGGAUAUCUUUACUAGAAUAUAAUAUUAUAAUGGCUUCUAAUUCACUGUUUAUCCACAUUGUUUGCUAUUCAUUUCUGUUGACAUCCUUAAUGUUUGACAUUUACUAUUAACUGUUGGUUAAAUUUGGGCAGUUUUAAAUGCCAGAAAUAGGAUUAACUUAUAACCAUAAGAAAAUAUGUAGAAUGUUUGAUAGUUUCUCUUAAUUUCCUGUGUUGUCCUUGCAGUCUAUCCAUGCAGUCUGCUUGGUCAAUGACCAUUUGAUAAAGAAAACUACAGAUUGAGGAUACCUUAAGAACCACAUAAAGAUUAAGAACUAUCUCAGUACGCACCACAUGCAUUAGGAAUCAGUUUUGGUAAUUUACACAAGAAACUAGGAUGAUAUUAGGAACGACCAAGGGCAAAAUAAUUAUUUUGCUCUACGAAAUUGACCAAAAUAAUAUGAAAUUUAGAAUCGAUAAGAUUACCCCCAUUACACAUCAAAGAGAAGGUUGUGAAUGUUGCUCGGAUUCUCCAAAAAGAGUGUUGCAUCCAUGUUAGAUCCUCCAAAAAGGCACUACUUUUAAAGGAUACGACAUGUACCCGUCGAUAUUUUGAAGAGUCCGCACAACAUAGCUUUUAAUAAGUUUAUUUUAGAAUAAAAAUGUCAUUGCAGCAUACUACCUCAUUAGGAGACCAAAAGAACACACGAAAGAAAUUAUGAUACAAGUACGAUUGUGAUUGUGGACCAAUACGUAAAGACUCGAGCUCGGGUGGCUGCCCAACCAAUGGAACAAGUUUUGAAGUGUAGAGAACAAGUCCCAACACUCCAAAGCCAUCCAAUAUGCACACUCUAAGGCUGCCCUUUUGCCAUGGCUCAUUAAGGGAAUUUUAGUCAUUUUAUAUUUUGAAACCUAGGCUAUAAAUAGAACAUGUUAGGUCAUUUUGUCAUAACUUUGAUGAUAUUUUGAGAGCUCUAGAGAGAGAGUCUUGUAAGGUGGAUUCCUUGUAAACAAGUGUGGAUAUCACUUGUGUUGGUGCUAGUUUUGAAACGUUGGUUGCUUGGGAAUCUUGUUCCCUUGAGGUCACCGUAGAGCUUGGUGUUACUUGUAUGAAUUCUUGUGUCUUUGUGUUUAAUAUACACUUAGGUUCAUAGUGUUUGUACAUUUGUAUGUCAAUUUAGCUAUCUAUCUAUCUAUUUAUCUAUUUCAUUGUUGUUGUUAUUCAUUCUCGGGUUUGGUGUCCUAAAACCGAGACUUUGUGUUCUUCUUGUUCUUGUUCUUGUGUUGUUAAUCUAGUUUGUUGGCUCGCUGGUUUUAGAGGUAUUAAACACCUUAAUAUCUUAUUGUUAUUGCGUUUUCGUUGUUGUUGUAGUGAGUUUGAGAGUGGUCACCAAAGGGGUCCUCGGUUCUUCCAACUUGUGGACUGUUUUGGUGUUUGUUUUGUGUCUCCUUUGUCGAUCUUGUAUCAUUUGGUAUCAGAGCAUGACUUGAUUUUGUUUCCACAAGAUCAAUCUUGCGCUAGAUUGCUUGAAAAACAAAAUGUAGUGUUCUUGAGUUUGGAUCUUGGCCGAAAGUUGUUGUGUUCUUGUUGUGUUUGGUCGAGACUUGAAAAUUAGAUCUAGGAGUCAUUUUUUUCUUGGUGUUUCUAGUGUUAGUUUUCUUCAUCACUAACACUCUUGAGUCAAAAUCUAAAUUUGAGCUUGCAUUUGUUGAAGUGUUGUUGUGAACUUAAAGCCUUAGCCGAUUGUGUUGCCAUCUUGGUGGACUUGGCCGUGAUUUGUUGGCCUUGUUGUUGUCGGAAUUGAUUGUUGGAAUUGUUGUGUUCUUGGUGAUCGUUAAAGUUGUUCUUGAUGUUCUUCAUCCCUUUCAAGACUUGUUAAAAUAAAGUGAAUACUAGAUCUAUAAAGUUGAAGAGAAAAAGGUGAAAGCUUUUUAGCCUUGAAAGACUUACCAUCACCCAUUAACUAGUCAAUCACUUCCUAACAACUUUCCUUGUUUAAAGGGGGAUGGUACACAAAAGUCAAGUCUUUCACUUUUGAAUUUGACAAUAGGAUUUCAAGACUUGUUUCCCUCCUAAAUCAAUUCCCACCAAUUUCAAAUCACAAAUUGUUCAAGACUUCCAAUUUUGGAAAAUAAAAUUUGUUAAGACCGCAACCAAUACGUGGCUUCCACGUCAUAUUUUACUGUUCACACGACAAAUUUAGGCUCAAAUUUUUGAUUUAUUAGUUUCUAAUCUUUGUUUCUUAGUUGCAUUUUGUUGAUUCUACUGCUAAUUAGCAAACUAGUAAUUAUCUACUAGGUUGUAAAUUAGUUUUGGGUCCGUUUAUUCGUGUCUAUGUUUCUUUGUGUGCUUUUAUCUUUUUGAAAUUCGUUGUAGUUUCUUGGUUCAAGUCUGUGCGUAUUUUCUUUGAGUUGUUCAAAAGAGAAUCUAUUCCGACCUCGAGCCCCAAUUGGUACCAAGUAAUCUCCUUGGAGUAUAAACGAGUUACCAACACUUGUGAGGCCAAUUGAGAGGCAUUUCAAAGUGUGAGAGCUUAAGAGCUUGUGAGGAUGUUUUCUUUUCUAAUAUUAACUAGUUUGUUGUUUUUUGUGUUUUUGUUUUAGAAUUUCUUUUGUUAGGAACUAUGGCAUUGGAAAAGGUGACCAUGAACGAUUUGAUAGCUGCCAUAAUGGGUAUGAAACAUGACAUUAGCAGCCGAAUGGAGAGAAUGCAAAAAAAAUAAUGGACCGAGUGGAAGGAAGAAUAGAAGGGAUGGAAAGCUCUCUUUGCAAGGAGUUGGAUAACUUGAUAGAGAAUCCAAGUCUUUUUAAUCAAGUUCCUGUAAGUGGACAUGCUACACAUGAGCUACAAGGUAAUUAAACUAACUCUUGCACUCUAGUGAAUGAGGCUAGUAGCCAACUAAGUGUGAAUGGUAGUUUGUCUUUAGGCGAGCCGAAUGUGCCUCCAUUUGGUGAUGAUAAUGUACAACUUGAGAUUGUGGAUACACUAGUUGAUCCAUCUAGUGUUGAGGCCAUUGUGGCAAGUGAUAAUAUAUUAUCUUAUGGAAGUCAUGAAGACCAACUUGUGUGUGAAAAUGGUGAUGUUCAACAUGUUGGCCGAUUGACUAUGGAUGACACUUUAGUUAUUUUUAUUGUAGACCAUGCUAGUAUAGAGGGGAUAUAUGAUUGUACUAGUACAGUAUGUGGAAAAGGAAAUGCAUCCGAAACCCGGGUCCAUGGACACUCCACCCAUUUGAUCCCGGUGAUUAUUUGAAGUAUGGUGAUGAGGAUGUCUUUUGGAAUGACUUGAAUGUGCAUGGAAUUUAUGGCCUUCCUAUCUCGGCUUUCAAGCCUAUUUGUUGUUCAAAGAAGAGUAUGUUUUCCACUUGAUGAGAAACUCUUGUUCUUUAUUUUUUGUCACACUUGUGUGGAUAGACUAGUUGACUUUUUCUUGGGAGGGUAUUCGAGUAAGAGGGAUGUUUGGGUGUAUGUGAAGUUUGAGCCACCUUGGCAAGAUGCUAUGAUUGAUUACACUAAUCCUAACCUUCAUACCUUGAGGAACUUGUGUUUGCUUGUCCUUCCUAUUAUUAUGCAAGGUUUGGAUCCAAGGUCGAAUCCUUUUUCAAGAAGGGGAGGAUGAUACAAGUACGAUCGUGAUUUUGGACCAAUACAUAAAGACUCGAGUUUGGGUGGCUGUCCAACCAAUGGAACAAGUUUUGAAGUGUAGAGAACAAGUCCCAACACUCCAAAACCAUCCAAUAUGCACACUCCAAGGCCGCCCUUUUUCCAUGGCUCAUUAAGGGAAUUUUGGUCAUUUUAUAUUAAGUUGAAACCUAGCUAUAAAUAGAACAUGUUAGGUCAUUUUGUCAUAACUUUAAUGAUAUUUUAAGAGCUCUAGAGAGAGAGUCUUGCAAGGUGGAUUCCUUGUAAACAAGUGUGGCUAUCACUUGUGUUGGUGCUAGUUUUGAAACGUUGGUUGCUUGGGAAUCUUGUUCCCUCGAGGGCAACGUAGAACUUGGUGUUACUUGUAUGAAUUCUUGUGUCUUUGUGUUUAAUAUACACUUAGGUUCAUAGUGUUUGUACAUUUGUAUGUCAAGUUACCUAUCUAUCUAUCUAUCUAUCUAUCUAUUUCAUUGUUGUUGUUAUUCAUUCUCGGGUUUGGUGUCCUAAAACCGAGACUUUGUGUUCUUGUUCUUGUGCUUGUAGUUUUAAUCUAAUUUGUUGGCUCACUGAUUUUAGAGGUGUUGAACACCUUAAUAUCUUGUUGUUAUUGUAUUUUUGUUGUUGUUGUAGUGAAUCCGAGAGUGGUCACCAAAGGGGUCCUCGGUUCUUCCAACUUGUGGAUUGUUUUGGUGUUUGUUUUGUGUCUCCUUUGUCGAUCUAGUAUCAAAUUGUUUGUUGAAAUAACUUUCAAGAUUACUUAUCCCGAAUAGAAUAUACAAGAUUAUAUCUACGUGAUCAAAUAGACAACAUAAAAGAUUUUAUUUGGACUAUGUCUUAUGCGCUACAAAAAUUUUUUUUUGUUAAACUUAUAUUUUGAGCCAUUUUGGAGUGUAUUAAUUCUGUUGACACUUCAGUUCCAAGUCAUGAUACUAUGUCUACCAUCUUUAUGUGGUUUUACUUCUAACUGGGAGGAACAUGUUGUAAAUUGAUACCUUCAGCCCCCCUACAUGAGCGUUCAUGCAUUAUUGAGUUUGAUGGGGCUUCAAAGGGGAAUGAUAGACUAACAGGUGCUGCUGCUAUGCUGCGUGCUGUAGAUGGAAGUAUGGUUUUCCGGUUGCGUGAAGGUGUGGGGAUGGGAACUAACAAUGUUUCUGAAUAGAGAGGCUUAAUCUUAGGGCUAAAAUAUACUCUUGAGAAAGGUUUCAAACACAUAAAAGUUAAGGGUAACCCAAAACUUGUCUGCAUGCAGAUCUUCUUUCUCUUUCUUCUUACUUCUGCUUUUCUAUUUUUUUUUUUUCAUUUUGCCUUCAGAAAAUUAGUCAAUUAUUUCUGCUUUCUCACUUUUAAUAUCUUGUCAAAUAUCUUUGGUUGCACAUCUAACUAACUUCAAAAAAGAGACUAUCAAAGGAUGUGGUGCAGUGGAUAGGGCUGCUCCCUCUCUUAAUCAGAGAUCUCGAUUCAAGCCUUGGAUAUGAAAAAAUCUUUGAUAGGAAGCACUACCCCCGAAUGGAGGCCCUACCCGGCACGUAUCUUGAGUCAGACUCUAAUCAAGUACCGGACACGGGAUAAAAAACAAAAAAAAUUCAAAAAAGAGAGAUGACAACACUUUGGCUACUUUAGGUUCAUAUAAAUUCUUUAAUUAAUUAAAGGUCAAGAUUCUUGAACCCCAUUUAAUCUUGGGUUAAUAAUAAUUUUGGUUCCUUAUUAAUAAAUUUCAAUUUUAAUCCUUGUGAUAUCUAAAUACAAAUGUCCAUGACACCGAUCCAUCACUUAAUUAUUGUUACUUCAGGUUUGAUAGUAAUAUAGUUUUAAAAAGGGAAAAAUGUUCAAUAUAUACCCAAAUUUUAGUGAAAUUUGUUAUAUUACACCUGAACUUUGUGGGGUCCUAUCACCCCCCGAACUAUUUAUUAGUAUAUUUUAGUGAUAUUUAUAAGCUAAUAAAAGAUAAAAAAUGCUAAAAAAAUUUAAAAGAGAAUUUUGUUCAAAUAAGUAUCAAUAAAAUAAGAUAAUAAAUAGUCUAGGUUGCCAUAGGACUCCCGUAAAGUUCCGACGUGUAACAACAAAUUUCGUCAAAGUUAAGGUAUAUUUGAGAAUAUUUUCCCUUUUAAAAACAAUUGAAAUAUAACAUAGUUCCUGUAAUAAGGGAUCAAAUAAACUAUACAUUUAUGAAAAA